AUGCAUCCUUCCGUUUGAGAGGCUCCCAUAGAUAAGCUUUGUUGAACUGAAAAAAGCUCUGAACGAGGAGUCGAUUCCUCUUGACUCUCGAUUCCCAACGUCUCGGAAUCGAGGAAUCGAUUCUUUUUGGAAUCGAUUCCCAGCUCUAGCGGCGGGAGUUGCCAUGGAAACGGUGAGCAACACUGUAACUGACGAACAGUAAAUCUCCGUCUCUCGCUGCUGUUUUCACUGCUUUCAGAAAUGUUUUACAGUCUUCGAAAAAGUCCGCUAACAUCUGUUUUCAGACGAGGAGUGAUAAUAUAAUCUUUCUACUAAGGAAGAGAAGCUCCAAGAUUUCAAAAUUUCAGACGGGAGCUGCUGACAGAAAUGCAGAAAACACAGGUGAGCAUAGAAGAAAUAUGCAUUCAUGUCAGGGAAUAGGCUGGAUUCAGAUGCGGGAGUAACAGAGGCUUUAUUGAGCAGACAAUAAUAACAAUAACAGGCGAGGAGCGCUCCCGCAGACGGCUUGCGUGGAUGUGGGAAUUCCUUCACACACAGAUGGGUGGAUGGUAGCGGCUGGAGCAAGCCACAACAGCGGCAGAGGAGACGGAGCCGGCAAGGCUGUUCGCUAUUCCGAGCGAGAGGUAGAGCGAUCCACUAACGAGUCUGCAAAGACCCAGGAAUGGCGGAAGCCAAGGGAGCCCACAGGAAUCUGAGCGCACAGACAGGUACCGGAUAAUUAACUAGCAGCAACGAGCACUGGAGCCUGAACAGAGCAAGACAGGACAGGUAAACGAUACAAACUAGAGACAGUCAGAACAAUGGAAAUAACCAAACAGUCUGACAAAAGACAGAGUAACACAGGGAGCUAUAAAGGGAAUGCUAAUGAGAUGACUAGAACCCGGUGUGAAACAAGAUGAGCUAACAAGCAGAGAAACAAGGAGGGCGGGGAAACAAUCACGCUGAAAAUGCGCACAUGGCGAGCUGUCAAAACAAGGCCACGUACACAACACCUGAACACAGAGACAGAAAACCCAGGUGAUCAGACCCGAGACCCGACACAUUCAUAUGCGUUUUUUUCACAACAUAUUUUCUUAUAUCACCAUGCAUCUGUUAUAUUACAGUUCAUUAAAGGAAGGUUUUGACAGGUAGUGACACAAACCUAAAUACAUGAAUGUUAAUAAUUUUAUUUUAAGAAAUUGUUUGUGUGUGUGUGCAUGUACAGUUUUCUUUUCUGCUUUCACUUCUGCUCUAGCUUGCUUCCUUUAAAUAAAACUAAAUAUCUUUGGCUCUGUGAUAAAUUGCAUAUUAUGUUUCUAGAUUAUAUGCUGAUGGCCGUGCAGCAGAGGAGUGCAGUCUCCUUUCAGACAACAUCUCUAAGUCGCUAUGUACCAUGUUACUAGAUCCUAUGUACCCAGCCUCAACCAUUCAUCAGAAGGACUGUGAAAGCAGGAACUCUUUGAACCACCAGUGGCAGUUUCCAUGGGAUGAAAAAGGGCAUAGUAGUGGAUGAUGAGGUCCUGAGACCAUAUGGGGUGAAGAUCAAGACAACCAAACCAAAGGUGGACUGUAACCUACUGGACUAUAUGAUAGACUUCAUACUGACCACUACUGCCGUGUAUGCAGCAUGAAAAGUUUUUGAAAAGAGGGGCAUUUCCUUCAAGUAAAAGUGUGGAGGAUUCAUCUGGCCUUCAUCGGCCCCCAUGAGGUGACUCGAUGUAGAAUAAAUCAACUUGCUUUAGGCUUGAAAUGACUGAAAUCUUCUCAUGUGAGUUGAUAUCAUUUUAAACAUUCUUUAAAGUACUUCUCAUUUCUUGUGAAUGUAUUUUGUUGUAUGUGUAAAACUUUUCCAUUGAAAGAACCUUUUUUACCUUCAUUGAUAUUGUAAUCAAGGUUGUUAAUGCGACCUUGAUGCACCCGAUGGACUGCACACAUCUGCCUGUGUUGGGCUUGUGUUUACAGGUUGUAUAAAACUAGGCCUGGCUGCAACAACUAAUCGAUAAUUAAAAUAAUCAUCAACGAAUUUGAAUAGUGCAUCAAAACAAACAGACCGCUCAUAAUUCUGACUAAAAUACACAUUUUUCUCAAAUAUUUUUUUGUUAGAAAUUAAGUGUAGGUUUAAAACCCUACAUAUAACACAAGUAAUCAUAUUUAUGAGAGCAGUAACAUUAAAGGCACUAUUGUUGGAACUGUCCAUUAAUAUAAUACAAUAUAAUUACUCUGUUCAGACGAAUGAUUGUGUUUGUUCCUCGUACCUCUUACAAGUUAACAUUUGUUUUUGUUUUUUUGUUUAAAUUGUUUUAAAUUCUGUUUCAAAAUAACAAGCAAUCUGUUGUUUUUAGGCUUAGAAUGUAAUGUUUGUAUUUUAACACUUUAAUGCUUAUAAUGUACAGCAGAGCCUACAUAGAGAAAUUAAUUAUUUGUUUUCAUAGGCAGGAUGUGAAAUGACAUUCUUUAAAAUAAUGGAUUAAAAUUAUUUUAAUUAAAAAAUUACGUAUAUAUUUUAUUUAUUUGUCAUCCAAUUACUAGUAUUAAUAAUAAAAAAAUCUACAAAUAAAUUGGUUAUCCAAAAAAAUUGUUAGUUGCAUGCAGCCCUACAAAAGAUAUUGUUAAAGAGGUCGGCGGUAUAAUGUUAUGUGUGAACACCAAGUCAUGUUUAUUUGUACAACAUGUAAUUAAUUUCUAUAGAGAAUGCAUUAUUACAGUGAAACAAUUUGCGAUUUUUAUUUUGUAAAUUAGCAUAAAGCCAUGUCUACCACUGCAGUGCUUUAUCACUAUUUUUUAAAUAAAGUUAUAGUUCAUAGUUCUGAAUCAUUUUGACAUGUGACAACAAUAUUUUGUUUCAGAUGAUGUAACUGCUACAAUAAAGCCUGUAUCAUAGAAUAGUAACUUGUCAUUCUGUUUUUAUUUUGUAGAUGUUUGUUGAAUAACUAGGCUUAAAUGUAAUUUGAGGUACUUUAGUAAAACCAUGGUUAAACUAUGGUAUUACAACCAUAGUUCAUUUGUGGUACUUGAACCAUGGUUUUUAAACCAAACCAUGGUUCGCACCAAAAAACCACGGGUACUACAGUCAUGGUUAACUACAGUUUUACUAUAGUAAAACCAUGGUUAAUUUUCGUAAGGGUGAAGAGCUCCAAACCGAGGCAGCCAUUCGCAGCACCAUCUUGGCAAAAAGAAAGAAAAAAAACUCUUUACCUUCACAGACAUAACGAACGAUGUUUAUGCAAAUUAUGUGUUUUUCACAUAACCAUGUGACAGUUUAAGAGCAAUAAGACGUGAAAGAGAACUUAGUUUAGUACUCACACGCCAAGUGACAGCCGCUUCCUGUGUGCUCAGAAAACCAGAAGAUUAAACUAAUAUGGUUUAAAACACACGAUUUCGGCACGAUAUACAUGAUAAUCAAAACCAAACAGAUGUUUCUUGUCAGAGUAUCUGAGGUACCAGCUGUAAAGGCACAGCUCUAUUCUGGAAAAAAGGGGCGGGGAGCAGCAGCUCAUUUGCAUUUAAAGAGACAUGCACGAAAACAGUGUGUUUCUAGUGCCACUCAAAAUAGGCUUUUUCAAAACGAUAUAAUAAAUGACCUGUGGGGUAUUUUGAGCUGAAACUUCACUUAUUCUGCACAAUAUGUCUCCUUUAAAGGGUUGGAAAAUAAAAUAAAAAGUAACUGUCCCCUCAAUUUUAAAUAUUAAUAAAAAAUAUUGAACAAAAAUAUAUUUCCUAGA